rnacentral:rRNA from 1 species
AUUGAACGCUGGCGGCAUGCUUUACACAUGCAAGUCGAACGGCAGCGCGGGCUUCGGCCUGGCGGCGAGUGGCGAACGGGUGAGUAAUACAUCGGAACGUGCCCAGUAGUGGGGGAUAGCUCGGCGAAAGCCGGAUUAAUACCGCAUACGACCUGAGGGUGAAAGCGGGGGAUCUUCGGACCUCGCGCUAUUGGAGCGGCCGAUGGCAGAUUAGCUAGUUGGUGGGGUAAAGGCCUACCAAGGCGACGAUCUGUAGCUGGUCUGAGAGGACGACCAGCCACACUGGGACUGAGACACGGCCCAGACUCCCACGGGAGGCAGCAGUGGGGAAUUUUGGACAAUGGGCGAAAGCCUGAUCCAGCAAUGCCGCGUGUGUGAUGAAGGCCUUCGGGUUGUAAAGCACUUUUGGCGGGAACGAAAAGGACUGUGCCAAUACCACGGUUCGAUGACGGUACCCGCAGAAUAAGCACCGGCUAACUACGU